UAGCUCAGUUGAUAGAGUGUGGCACUUGCAGCGCCAGGCUUGUGGGUUCAAUUCCCAC
rnacentral:tRNA from 1 species